GUAUUUCCUUUGGCAGCACGUAUAGUAAAAUUGAAAUGAUACAGAGAUUAGCAAGGCCCAUGCACAAGUAUGACAUGCAAAUUUGUGAAGCAUUCCAUAUUAAA